GAUGAACGCUGGCGGCGUGCCUAAUACAUGCAAGUCGAACGAGGUGCUUUUGUAGCAAUACGAAAGUAUCCUAGUGGCGAACGGGUGAGUAACGCGUUGGUGACCUACCCCAAAGGUGUGGGAUAACAGUUCGAAAGAACUGCUAAUACCGCAUGUGGUUAUCGGAUUUAGAAACUGAUAACUAAAGGAGCAAUUCGCUUUGGGAGGGACCUGCGUCCCAUCAGCUAGUUGGUGAGGUAAUGGGCUCACCAAGGCUACGACGGGUAGGGGACCUGAGAGGGUGACCCCCCACAAUGGAACUGAAACACGGUCCAUACACCUACGGGUGGCAGCAGUAGGGAAUA
rnacentral:rRNA from 1 species